UACGUAGGGGGCAAGCGUUGUCCGGAUUUAUUGGGCGUAAAGAGCUCGUAGGCGGCUUGUCGCGUCGUCUGUGAAAUCCCGCGGCUCAACUGCGGGUCUGCAGUCGAUACGGGCAGGCUAGAGUUCGGUAGGGGAGACUGGAAUUCCUGGUGUAGCGGUGAAAUGCGCAGAUAUCAGGAGGAACACCGGUGGCGAAGGCGGGUCUCUGGGCCGAUACUGACGCUGAGGAGCGAAAGCGUGGGGAGCGAACAGG
rnacentral:rRNA from 1 species